CCUACGGGUGGCUGCAGUGGGGAAUAUUGGACAAUGGGGGCAACCCUGAUCCAGCCAUGCCGCGUGUGUGAAGAAGGCCCUCGGGUUGUAAAGCACUUUCAGUGAGGAAGAACGCCUGGUGGUUAAUACCCAUCAGGAAAGACAUCACUCACAGAAGAAGCACCGGCUAACUCCGUGCCAGCAGCCGCGGUAAUACGGAGGGUGCGAGCGUUAAUCGGAAUUACUGGGCGUAAAGCGCGCGUAGGUGGCUUGAUAGCCGGUUGUGAAAGCCCCGGGCUCAACCCUGGGAACGGCAUCCGGAACUGUCAAGCUAGAGUGCAGGAGAGGAAGGUAGAAUUCCCGGUGUAGCGGUGAAAUGCGUAGAGAUCGGGAGGAAUACCAGUGGCGAAGGCGGCCUUCUGGACUGACACUGACACUGAGGUGCGAAAGCGUGGGUAGCAAACAGGAUUAGAUACCCCAGUAGUC
rnacentral:rRNA from 1 species